rnacentral:rRNA from 1 species
GCAGCAGCAAGGAAUUUUCGGCAAUGGGCGCAAGCCUGGCCGAGCAACGCCGCGUGCGGGAUGACGGCCUUCGGGUUGUAAACCGCUUUUCGGAGGGACGAUAGUGACGGUACCUCCGGAAUCAGGCUCGGCUAACUCUGUGCCAGCAGCCGCGGUAAGACAGAGGAGCCAAGCGUUGUCCGGAUUGACUGGGCGUAAAGCGUCCGCAGGCGGCUGGGCACGUGGGGUGUGAAAGCGCGCGGCUUAACCGCGCGAGGCCACCUCAUACGGCCCGGCUUGAACCCGGGAGAGGUCCGUGGAAUUGCCGGUGUAGUGGUGAAAUGCGUAGAGAUCGGCAGGAACACCAAGGGGGAAACCAGCGGACUGGCCCGGUGCUGACGCUCAGGGACGAAAGCGUGGGGAGCGAACUGGAUUAGAUACCCAGGUAGUCCACGCCGUAAACGAUGGAUACUCGGCCUGUGGGCGGACUACGAGCCGCCUGGGGGCCCAAGCCAACGCGAUAAGUAUCCCGCCUGGGAACUACGAGCGCAAGCUUAAAACUCAAAGGAAUUGACGG